GAGUAAUGCCUAGGAAUCUGCCUGGUAGUGGGGGAUAACGUUCGGAAACGGACGCUAAUACCGCAUACGUCCUACGGGAGAAAGCAGGGGACCUUCGGGCCUUGCGCUAUCAGAUGAGCCUAGGUCGGAUUAGCUAGUUGGUGAGGUAAUGGCUCACCAAGGCUACGAUCCGUAACUGGUCUGAGAGGAUGAUCAGUCACACUGGAAGGGAGACACGGUCCAGACUCCUACGGGAGGCAGCAGUGGGGAAUAUUG
rnacentral:rRNA from 1 species